GAUGAACGCUGGCGGCGUGCCUAAUACAUGCAAGUCGAGCGAACGGACGAGAAGCUUGCUUCUCUGAUGUUAGCGGCGGACGGGUGAGUAACACGUGGAUAACCUACCUAUAAGACUGGGAUAACUUCGGGAAACCGGAGCUAAUACCGGAUAAUAUUUUGAACCGCAUGGUUCAAAAGUGAAAGACGGUCUUGCUGUCACUUAUAGAUGGAUCCGCGCUGCAUUAGCUAGUUGGUAAGGUAACGGCUUACCAAGGCAACGAUGCAUAGCCGACCUGAGAGGGUGAUCGGCCAACCUGGACCUGAGACACGUCCCAGACUCCUACGGAAGGAGGCAGUAGGAAACUUUCGGCAAUGGGCGAAGGCCUGACGGAGCAAGGCGGCGUGGGUGAUGAGGGCCUUCGAACCGUAAACCCUGGUUAUUAGGAAAGAAAUAAGGUGAAAGUAAUGGUCAAAACCUUGCGGGUACUAAAUAAAAAAGCAACGCUUAACUCCUG
rnacentral:rRNA from 1 species